rnacentral:rRNA from 1 species
AUGAACGCUGGCGGCGUGCCUAAUACAUGCCAGUCGAGCGAACAGACGAGGAGCUUGCUCCUCUGACGUUAGCGGCGGACGGGUGAGUAACACGUGGAUAACCUACCUAUAAGACUGGGAUAACUUCGGGAAACCGGAGCUAAUACCGGAUAAUAUAUUGAACCGCAUGGUUCAAUAGUGAAAGACGGUUUUGCUGUCACUUAUAGAUGGAUCCGAGCCGCAUUAGCUAGUUGGUAAGGUAACGGCUUACCAAGGCAACGAUGCGUAGCCGACCUGAGAGGGUGAUCGGCCACACUGGAACUGAGACACGGUCCAGACUCCUACGGGAGGCAGCAGUAGGGAAUCUUCCGCAAUGGGCGAAAGCCUGACGGAGCAACGCCGCGUGAGUGAUGAAGGUCUUCGGAUCGUAAAACUCUGUUAUUAGGGAAGAACAAAUGUGUAAGUAACUAUGCACGUCUUGACGGUACCUAAUCAGAAAGCCACGGCUAACUACGUG